rnacentral:rRNA from 1 species
UACGAAGGGUGCAAACGUUGCUCAGAAUCAUUGGGCGUAAAGCGCACGUAGGCGGCUUCAAAAGUCGGAUGUGAAAUCCCGUGGCUCAACCAUGGACGUGCAUUCGAAACUGCGAAGCUUGAGUAUGGAAGAGGGUCGCGGAAUUCCCGGUGUAGAGGUGAAAUUCGUAGAUAUCGGGAGGAACACCAGUGGCGAAGGCGGCGACCUGGGCCAAUACUGACGCUGAGGUGCGAAAGCGUGGGGAGCAAACAGG